GUCUUUUAGUAAAUUAUUUAAAGUCUAAUCUGCUCACUGAAAUUUAAAGAGCCGCAGUAUUUUGACUGUGCAAAGGUAGCAUAAUCAAUAGUUUUUUAAUUGAAAACUUGUAUGAAAGAUUGGAUGAGAAAUUAAUUUUCUUUUUUUAAGAAACUGAAUUUAAAGUUUAAGUGAAAAUUCUUAGAUGAAAUAAAAAGACGAGAAGACCCUAUAGAUUUUUUAUUAGUUAAAGGAUUUGUUAUAAUUAAAUUUAGGAUAAUUAAUUUAAUUGGGGUGAUUUUGUAAUAUAAAAAACUUAGAUUGAGUAGACCACAAAUAAAUGAAUAUUUGGAUUCAAAUUUUUUGGAUAAAGAUUAAAUUACCUUAGGGAUAACAGCGUAAUUUUAUUUAAAAGUUCAUAUUUAUAAUAAAGUUUACGACCUCGAUGUUGAAUUAAGAUAAAAUAUUGGAGCAGAAAUUAGUAUUAUUAGUCUGUUCGACUAUUAAAUUCU
rnacentral:rRNA from 1 species